AGAACACAGAUUGGCCGCUGAGGAAAGCAAAAAAACAUACGAGCAAAACUCCUCCGAAAAUGGACAUUGUUCAUGAACAAAGCUCAGUACAUCACCAUAGAUGCCACAAAACCAUCUUAUUUUGAAACGUAUCCUCUGCUAAGCCUCUACAUGAGCAACAAUUAUCAUUGUACCUCAAUCCAUCGUUGGCUGAAACUCAACCAUAACAAUAAUUAAAGCAUAAACUUCAAAGGAAUGAGUGAACCGCUCGAUGUAUUUGCUCAAGCAUCAUUAAGAGCAAGGACACCAGGGAGUGGCUUCCCCUCAAGAAGCUCUAAGCUGGC
rnacentral:lncRNA from 1 species